GAUUCACUAACGUAGCUGCAGAGGGGCGGUCCGUGCUGGGCGACACCAGAUUUGGGUCGGCGGAGGUAAAGAAUGCGUACACCACCCGUUUUCGGCGUAACAAAAACCCUAACCCUACAUAUUUUUGACCCGUCUCUGCAGGGAAGAAAAAAAUAGGUUUGGGAUUAUGGACAAUAGGACUUUAAUUAUCAUUGGUUACUAACUUCCUACAUCAUUCUCAAGAUCCAGAGCAAAUCACAGAAGGCCUUGAUUUGUAUACGGAAAAUGACUUCCAGGUUGGAUUCCAAAAAUGGCAGAAAUGUUGGGGCCAGUGUAUUUCUGUGCAAGAAAGACAUGGGACAAAGUACUUAAGGACGACCUCAGAAUGCCGAACCUAUCAGGCAAGAUGACAAAGGACCAAGAUACUUGGUGCCUUGCUGUACUCAAGAAGACCUGUACUCCACAGCAGAAGUGUUAGGGCUGGUCUCCUCGAUGAAGAGGAUUAGCCUGCAAGAGUCCUGUGCUAGUGCCACAUCAAAAC